rnacentral:rRNA from 1 species
AGAACGAACGCUGGCGGCAGGCUUAACACAUGCAAGUCGAACGCCCCGCAAGGGGAGUGGCAGACGGGUGAGUAACGCGUGGGAAUCUACCCAGUUCUACGGAAUAACACAGGGAAACUUGUGCUAAUACCGUAUACGCCCUACGGGGGAAAGAUUUAUCGGGAUUGGAUGAGCCCGCGUUGGAUUAGCUAGUUGGUGGGGUAAUGGCCUACCAAGGCGACGAUCCAUAGCUGGUCUGAGAGGAUGAUCAGCCACACUGGGACUGAGACACGGCCCAGACUCCUACGGGAGGCAGCAGUGGGGAAUAUUGGACAAUGGGCGCAAGCCUGAUCCAGCCAUGCCGCGUGAGUGAUGAAGGCCCUAGGGUUGUAAAGCUCUUUCACCCACGACGAUAAUGACGGUAGUGGGAGAAGAGCCCGGCUAACUUCGUGCCAGCAGCCGC